rnacentral:rRNA from 1 species
GUUUGAUCAUGGCUCAGGAUGAACGCUAGCUACAGGCUUAACACAUGCAAGUCGAGGGGCAUCGGGAUUGAAGCUUGCUUCAAUUGCCGGCGACCGGCGCACGGGUGAGUAACGCGUAUCCAACCUUCCGUACACUCAGGGAUAGCCUUUCGAAAGAAAGAUUAAUACCUGAUGGUAUGAUGAGAUUGCAUGAUAGUAUCAUUAAAGAUUUAUCGGUGUACGAUGGGGAUGCGUUCCAUUAGGUAGUAGGCGGGGUAACGGCCCACCUAGCCUACGAUGGAUAGGGGUUCUGAGAGGAAGGUCCCCCACAUUGGGACUGAGACACGGCCCAGACUCCUACGGGAGGCAGCAGUGGGGAAUAUUGCACAAUGGGGGAAACCCUGAUGCAGCGACGCCGCGUGGAGGAAGAAGGUCUUCGGAUUGUAAACUCCUGUUGUUGAGGAAGAUAAUGACGGUACUCAACAAGGAAGUGACGGCUAACUACGUGCCAGCAGCUGCGGUAAAACGUAGGUCACAAGCGUUGUCCGGAAUUACUGGGUGUAAAGGGAGCGCAGGCGGGCGAUCAAGAUGGAAGUGAAAUCCAUGGGCUCAACCCAUGAACUGCUUCAAAACU